rnacentral:rRNA from 1 species
GUUAUAUGGUCAAGUGAAGAAGCGCAUACGGUGGAUGCCUUGGCAGUCAGAGGCGAUGAAAGACGUGGUAGCCUGCGAAAAGCUUCGGGGAGUCGGCAAACAGACUGUGAUCCGGAGAUGUCUGAAUGGGGGAACCCAACUGUCACAAGACAGUUAUCUUGCACUGAAUACAUAGGUGCACGAAGCGAACCAGGGGAACUGAAACAUCUAAGUACCCUGAGGAAAAGAAAUCAACCGAGAUUCCCUUAGUAGUGGCGAGCGAACGGGGACCAGCCCUUAAGUUGAUUUGAGAUUAGCGGAACGCUCUGGAAAGUGCGGCCAUAGUGGGUGAUAGCCCUGUACGCGAAAAUCUCUUGUCAAUGAAAUCGAGUAGGACGGGGCACGAGAAACCUUGUCUGAACAUGGGGGGACCAUCCUCCAAGGCUAAAUACUACUGACUGACCGAUAGUGAACCAGUACCGUGAGGGAAAGGCGAAAAGAACCGCGGAGAGCGGAGUGAAAUAGAUCCUGAAACCGUAUGCGUACAAGCAGUGGGAGCCUACUUUGUUAGGUGACUGCGUACCUUUUGUAUAAUGGGUCAGCGACUUAUUUUCAGUGGCAAGCUUAACCGAAUAGGGGAGGCGUAGCGAAAGCGAGUCUUAAUAGGGCGUCAAGUCGCUGGGAAUAGACCCGAAACCGGGCGAUCUAUCCAUGGGCAGGUUGAAGGUUAGGUAACACUGACUGGAGGACCGAACCGACUACCGUUGAAAAGUUAGCGGAUGACCUGUGGAUCGGAGUGAAAGGCUAAUCAAGCUCGGAGAUAGCUGGUUCUCCUCGAAAGCUAUUUAGGUAGCGCCUCAUGUAUCACUGUAGGGGGUAGAGCACUGUUUCGGCUAGGGGGUCAUCCCGACUUACCAAACCGAUGCAAACUCCGAAUACCUACAAGUGCCGAGCAUGGGAGACACACGGCGGGUGCUAACGUCCGUCGUGAAAAGGGAAACAACCCAGACCGUCAGCUAAGGUCCCAAAGUCAUGGUUAAGUGGGAAACGAUGUGGGAAGGCUUAGACAGCUAGGAGGUUGGCUUAGAAGCAGCCACCCUUUAAAGAAAGCGUAAUAGCUCACUAGUCGAGUCGGCCUGCGCGGAAGAUGUAACGGGGCUCAAACCAUGCACCGAAGCUACGGGUAUCACGCAAGUGAUGCGGUAGAGGAGCGUUCUGUAAGCCUGUGAAGGUGAGUUGAGAAGCUUGCUGGAGGUAUCAGAAGUGCGAAUGCUGACAUGAGUAACGACAAUGGGUGUGAAAAACACCCACGCCGAAAGACCAAGGUUUCCUGCGCAACGUUAAUCGACGCAGGGUUAGUCGGUCCCUAAGGCGAGGCUGAAAAGCGUAGUCGAUGGAAAACAGGUUAAUAUUCCUGUACUUCCAGUUAUUGCGAUGGAGGGACGGAGAAGGCUAGGCCAGCCUGGCGUUGGUUGUCCAGGUUUAAGGUGGUAGGCUGAAAUCUUAGGUAAAUCCGGGGUUUCAAGGCCGAGAGCUGAUGACGAGCGUUCUUUUGAACGCGAAGUGGUUGAUGCCAUGCUUCCAAGAAAAGCUUCUAAGCUUCAGAUAACUGGGAACCGUACCCCAAACCGACACAGGUGGUUAGGUAGAGAAUACCAAGGCGCUUGAGAGAACUCGGGUGAAGGAACUAGGCAAAAUGGCACCGUAACUUCGGGAGAAGGUGCGCCGGUGAGGGUGAAGGACUUGCUCCGUAAGCUCAUGCCGGUCGAAGAUACCAGGCCGCUGCGACUGUUUAUUAAAAACACAGCACUC